UACGGGGGGAGCAAGCGUUGUUCGGAUUUACUGGGCGUAAAGGGCGCGUAGGCGGUCAGCACAAGUCAGUUGUGAAAUCUCCGGGCUUAACCCGGAAAGGUCAACUGAUACUGUGCGACUAGAGUGCGGAAGGGGCAACUGGAAUUCUUGGUGUAGCGGUGAAAUGCGUAGAUAUCAAGAGGAACACCUGCGGCGAAGGCGGGUUGCUGGGCCGACACUGACGCUGAAGCGCGGAAGCCAGGGGAGCGAACGGG
rnacentral:rRNA from 1 species